GGGUAUGUAAUUUUGCUGAUGUCAUGAAGCUAGACUCAGACCCUCUCUGAAAGUAGAGGCUCCAGGAACAAAAUUUGAUGUCUUCUUUCCAUCCUGGGAAUGGACAUAGUGAUAGUCGGAGGUCUGUGUUUUAUGCCAAUGAAAAGUGGGAAUUUUUAGACCCAACCCCUAAGGACCUAGAGGAGUCCAUAGUACAGGAAGAAAAGAAGGAGCCAACCCCUGAAGGAAACAAAGUUUCACAAAGGCUGAAAAAUUUGCCUCAUACUUCCCUCAAAGCCAAACAGUUGCUUCAAACUUCAUCUACAAAUAGAGGAUUUGUACCUCAAUUGAUGGAAUACUGGUAAUUCUUCUACUCCAUUUGAAGAUGAAAAAUAAAGGCCAAAAUCAUAGGCCUGGCACAGAAGCUGGAUAAUGAAGACAGCUCCGGAGGAACACAUAGAUACACACACAUAUAGACACACACAUAUAUAAAGUACACAGACAUAUUAUUUUUAAAGUUUAUUUUUUAAAGUUUUAAAGUUUCUAAAAUGAAAGCUGGCCCUGCCUCUCUCCCAGAGUGAGCGGAGACAGCGGUUGCAUGAGCAGCUUUCCUUGUGAGGCCACAGGUCCCUCUGGACACGCUGCUGCCUGGCCAUGCCUCCUUUCCCUUUCAUCUUUCUCAUAGACCAAUGGGCUUGGAGCAUUAAGGCCAUACCCCUAUUAUGCAUUCUAGUGCGACCUUGUUUACACCUCCCCUGGCUCAGUCACACAGCUGUGUGGUAGGCUACUAGAAGUGUUUAGUAGUUGUCACUGGGAUCAUGCUGAUGUGGCCCCAUCCCCGCCUCUCCCUGCCCUGUGAUAUCGGAGGAAACCUGACAGAGCAAAUUGGCCAUGGCCAAGAAAAAGAAACAACAGAACCAAGAAAUGGUGGAUCAGUUGGAAGAAGUAACUCUUUGCUUACAACAUGACUGCUGGGUUUGGGAGGCACUCAGAUGUAGAGAUCUCAGUCUUGUCUCACCUAGUCCCAGCCUGGGGAAGAAGGCUCACCCCUCAGAUUCCACCCCAUCCCCAUAAGGAAAAGAAAGAGUGCCACCAAAAGCAGGGAGCCCUAAGGGAGCAGUUACAGGAGUCUGAGGAUCUGGCCAGCCGCCUUUAGUAUUCCAGGCAGUGUGUGGGAGAGUUGGAGCAGGCUCUCUGCUGUCUCCACACAGCAGAAGAAAGCAGACAGGUACAACAAGGAGUUAACCAAAGAGAGAGACGCCCUCAGGCUGGAGUUAUACAAGAACAGUUCAUUCCUUUCUCUACUGCCUCUGGCCAUAACCGAAGCAAUGAGGACCUAAAGCAGGAGAAAUCAGAAUUGGAAGAGAAGCUUCAAGUCCUGGUGACUGAGAAGGCUGGCAUGCAGCUUAUUUUAGAAGAGCCGCAAAAGAAAUUACAAAUG
rnacentral:lncRNA from 1 species